rnacentral:rRNA from 1 species
UACGUAGGGUGCGAGCGUUAAUCGGAAUUACUGGGCGUAAAGCGUGCGCAGGCGGCUUUGCAAGACAGAUGUGAAAUCCCCGGGCUCAACCUGGGAACUGCAUUUGUGACUGCAAGGCUAGAGUACGGCAGAGGGGGAUGGAAUUCCGCGUGUAGCAGUGUAAUGCGUAGAUAUGCGGAGGAACACCAAUGGCGAAGGCAAUCCCCUGGGCCUGUACUGACGCUCAUGCACGAAAGCGUGGGGAGCAAACAGG